GCACACCAACCUCCCCGAUGCACGGAUGGGAUCUAUAUAAUGAGUCCCAGAGGGGUGGACACCUAGCAUCUCUCAGCUUUGCAGGUUGCCGAGUCCAUUUCUCUACCAGGAAACACAGUAGAAGGAUUCAGGAAGACCAGUAUCAGGCACUGCCAUGACCCAAAAGGCACCUUGCCCCAUGCUCCUUCUCUUGCUCUUGCUGACAGUUGCUUGGCUAAUGGUGGUAGCUCAAGAUGGCAAAUAUAAAGAGUUCAAGAAUAAGCACCUUGACUUUCCCAAGACUAGAGCUAAGAACAACCGUCAAUACUGCAACACCAUGAGGCAGCGCCGGAAACUGCCCUGCAGGCCCACCAACACCUUCAUUCACGUCAACGAGGCCAGGAUGAAAUAUAUCUGCCGCUCAGGGAAGCGGAUUAGCAAAGAUACCCGCGAGAGCCUCCGGGCUUACCCAGUUACUGACUGCAUCCGGGCAAAGAAAGGCAGUAGUAGCCAGUGCCGCUACAGGGGCAAGUCUUCCAAGCGGCGGAUUCGGGUCACUUGUAAAGACGGGGUUCCCAUCCACUAUGUGCGAAUCUAAGUCAUGGCAAAGACCAGCUAGUGGCCUGGCUGCUACCUGUGCUUCUGCUUGGAUGCUGUGGCCUUUUGCUGAUUGCUCUGUACAUGUACACCAGAAAACAUACCCACCCUGUACCCUCUGAACGUGUUAAGGGGGUCCCUAACAGGUGAUGGCCCAUUUUACAAGUGCUUUGGCCCCUUUGCUGCCUCCUAGUGACUGUUACAUUGCCCCCUCUCUGUAUAAUACAUUUACUUGCAAUUGCUGGACUCCAUUGUGUACAAACAAGAUAGGGCAGAGACCUGCAUGGUGAGCAAAUCUGAGGUAACUGGUGAGAAGAGGAGUUGUAUGUGUCUGGUGGUUGCUUAGGAAGCUCAUUGUGUCAGUCUGAGCCUUUCAUGCUAGAUCAAUUUUAUUGCUGCUUGCUGAAAUAAAAUGCUUUAGGACAAAAGCACAACAGCCAGGAGCGUGUGGUUUUUGAAACAGGCUAGGGGCACAGGAACAGAGGGAAACACAUUUGCAAAUGGCCAUUGCAUUAAAGGGUAGAGUUUGAACACUCUA